GGGGAGGGCCACAGAGAGAGGGAGACACAGAAUCCGAAGCAGGCUCCAGGCUCUGAGCUGUCAGCACAGAGCCCGACACGGGGCUCGAACCCACGAACUGUGAGAUCACGACCUGAGCCGAAGUUGGACACCCAACCAACUGAGCCACUCAGGCGCCCUCUGGCCUGUAGUCUUAAAGAGAGACUACUGCCGAUUGGAGGAGACAAAAGAGACGUGGCAACUAAGUGCAGCGUGUGAUUCUGAACUGUGUCCCUUCACUGUGCAGCGUGGAGCUGGGACAACUGGCAAAACCCGACGAAGAUGGAGAGGUGAGAUGGUUGCACUCGGUGAACCAGGCCAGUCACGGAGGACAAGCACGGUGGCUGGUUGGAUUUUGCCCAUCGCCUCCACCCCCAGGCCCACCCCCGUAUGACCUGCUGGCCACUCAGAGCUCCUAAGCCUGCUAUCAGUCUUCUCUCCAGGAACCUCUCCUGGGGACAGUUAGAGGGGUGGAGCGUGUCCCAGCCAAAGACACAGCUCCGUGGCACUUUGAAACACCACUUUCCUCGGCUUCCGGAAAACCAGCGAAAUCUAUUCAUGAUGGGGAAGGGCCAUGCCUCUGCAGCCACUGUUGGAAAUCCUAUGGCAAAGGGCACUGCCCGGCAUGCUUUGUCUUCUGGAUGCCAUCCCCUUCGACAGGCUGACCGGAUGGCAGCACAAUGAGGGGGCACACAAGGUCAACUUUGCUACUGCCUGUUCAAUCUGCAUGCUACCCCACAGUCAAGGCUGAAUGCUGAAAUCAGUGACGACCUCGGCCUGUCUUCAUUCUGAAGGUGUACUCUUAAGUAACCAAAUCCAUUUCUUCACAGUUAAUUUAAUGGAGCUUCCAAAAAGUGUCAGACAUACUCUAAAAAGAAAAGAGAAUCGGAUCAAAAUGCCUCUUGACAAGAGACUACAUUUAUGUUCCUAAAUAAAUUUACAAUUAAA